rnacentral:rRNA from 1 species
GACGAACGCUGGCGGCGUGCUUAACACAUGCAAGUCGAACGAUGAACCCGGAGCUUGCUCCGGUGGAUUAGUGGCGAACGGGUGAGUAACACGUGAGUAACCUGCCCUUGACUCUGGGAUAACUGCGGGAAACUGUAGCUAAUACCGGAUACGACCCUCGGCGGCAUCGCCAGGGGGUGGAAAGAAUUUAGGUCAAGGAUGGACUCGCGGCCUACCAGCUAGUUGGUGAGGUAACGGCUCACCAAGGCGACGACGGGUAGCCGGCCGGAGAGGGUGACCGGCCACACUGGGACUGAGACACGGCCCAGACUCCUACGGGAGGCAGCAGUGGGGAAUAUUGCACAAUGGGCGCAAGCCUGAUGCAGCAACGCCGCGUGAGGGAUGACGGCCUUCGGGUUGUAAACCUCUUUUAGUAGGGAAGAAGCGAAAGUGACGGUACCUGCAGAAAAAGCACCGGCUAACUACGUGCCAGCCGCCGCAGUAA